rnacentral:ncRNA from 2 species
UUAGGCUGAUCCUGUCAUGGUGCCAUGCCGACAGCAGUCCACUGCUCUCGGGAUGGAGAAUUGGGAAGCCGGUGCGAUUCCGGCGCUGCCCCCGCAACGGUAAGGGAGGGCGUUUCGGCGAUAUGCCACUGGGCGACAAUGCUCGGGAAGGUGCCGCGACGCGAGGGUCAUCCGGCCCGCCAUCCAAGCCCGGAAACCAGCCUUGGCGUGACGUCGAAU